AUUUAAACGUACUAAUGAUCAUAAGUGAUAUUUCAACAUCUGCUAUAUUGUGGUAUGAAAAUACCUGUGAUUCUAUUAAUGGCAAAGCCCAAAAUUCCCACUGAUACUAUUGGGAUUUGUUGGCAACAUUUAUCAUCAAAGGAAAUGCAACUUUUCAGGUCCAGGUUUAUGAAAAUCAAGAUGUAACUUUCCUAUCCAUGCUUGUGGUCCCCAGGGUCAGUGCUCUUGAAUUCAAGGCAGGGAGGAGAUAUUGGAUAGGAGAUUGAUAAAAUAGGACAAUAGCCGGGCAUGGUCAUGCAUGUCUGUAAUCCCAGCGGCCUGGGAGGCUGAGGCAGGAGGAUCAUGAGUUCAAAGCCAGCCUCAGCAAGGGCGAGGUGCUAAGCAACUCAGUGAGACCUGUCUCUAAAUAAAAUACAAAAAAGAGCUGGGGUGUGGCUCAGUGGUCAAGUGCCCCUGAGUUCAAUCCCCUGUGCCAGAAAAAAAAAAAAAACUAAGAAGAAGACCUGUGGCAGGAACAGAGCAGAGUUUGUCUUGGUCCCUCCUGGCCUGGAUGGAAAUCCCUCUGCAGGGACCUGUGGUAACAUCCGGCCGAAGCAAUAAGCCAUCAUUAAACCUUCAGGCAACUCUCCUCAGGCACAGCCUUGUGUCCUGAAGUUGUACAGCUACUAUUGAUCCCCCUCUUUGGCAGGCAUGGGGAACACAACAAAGCGGACAUGGCCAUGCUGUCAUGGCGCUUACUCUCUAGUGGAAGAAAAGGGUCCAACAAACGGAAGCAGACAUCAUAUCCCCACCUGGGCUGCAAGCAGGAAAGCAGUGGUGCUGUUCAAGGCACAUGUUGGCCGGAGAUAGGGGAGGCCUCUGAGGAAGCCACACUCAGGGGGGGUCAGGGAAAGAAGGUGAAGGUCAGCUUUCCUUGGUGCUUUAGAGGAGCUGAAAGGAAAACAGGGGAGCUAGAACAGAGAGAGGUGGGCGAAAAGUGGGGAGAGGUGGGUAGGCCUAAGACUGCAAGGUCAUCCCAUCCUCAGGAUUUGGGAUGUUCUGAGUACAGGGGGAAACUGUUGACGCUUUCA
rnacentral:lncRNA from 1 species